AUGGGCGGACGGGUGGAUCACGAGUACUCCUACCUGUUCAAGAUGGUGCUCAUCGGGGAUAGCGGCGUCGGCAAGUCCAACAUACUCUCCCGAUUCACCCGCAACCACUUCUCCCUCGAUUCCAAGUCUACCAUCGGCGUGGAGUUCGCCACCAAGUCCUUGCAGAUGGAGGGAAAAACAAUAAAGGCUCAGAUCUGGGACACAGCUGGUCAGGAGAGGUACCGUGCAAUUACAAGCGCAUAUUACCGGGGCGCUGUAGGGGCUCUCCUUGUAUAUGACAUCACAAAGAAGCAGAGCUUUGACAAUGUUAAUAGGUGGCUGCGUGAGCUCCGUGAUCACGCUGACUCUAGCAUUGUCAUCAUGAUGGUCGGUAACAAGUCUGACCUGACACAUCUAAGAGCUGUCUCUGAAGAUCAAGGCAAGGCACUGGCUGAAAAGGAGGGCCUGUUUUUCCUUGAGACAUCAGCUAUGGAGGCUGUAAAUGUGGUAGAAGCCUUUCAGACUAUCAUCACAGAGGUCUAUGGUAUUGUUAACAAGAAAGCACUGGCCGCCAAAGCAGCAGCAGCAGCAGCUGUUCCAUUGCCUUCCCAGGGUAAAACCAUCAGCAUUGACAGUACUGCCGGGAACUCAAAGAAGGCAUGCUGCAAUACUUGA
rnacentral:rRNA from 1 species